UGCCCCUGUAGCUCAGAUGGAUAGAGCAUCGGUUUCCUAAACCGGUUGUCGGGCGUUCGACUCGCCCCAGGGGUAU
rnacentral:tRNA from 1 species